CAGCCGCCGCGGUAAUACGUAGGUCCCGAGCGUUGUCCGGAUUUAUUGGGCGUAAAGCGAGCGCAGGCGGUUAGAUAAGUCUGAAGUUAAAGGCUGUGGCUUAACCAUAGUACGCUUUGGAAACUGUUUAACUUGAGUGCAAGAGGGGAGAGUGGAGUUCCAUGUGUAGCGGUGAAAUGCGUAGAUAUAUGGAGGAACACCGGUGGCGAAAGCGGCUCUCUGGUCUGUAACUGACGCUGAGGCUCGAAAGCGUGGGGAGCGAACAGGAUUAGAUACCCCCGUAGUCCCUGUCUCUUAUACC
rnacentral:rRNA from 1 species